UCGACACCUAGCCCAUCGUCCCACACUCCAACCACACCUCCACCCGAACCCUCCCUCUCUCCUCAAACAUGAGCGCCGCCGAUACCGGCUUCCCUCCCGUUCACCCGCACCGGCGCAGGCCGCCGCCGCAGCUCCUCGUGCUUGCACCGAUCUGACCUCCGAUUUCCUCUCCCUGGUCUCCUCUCUCAAGUCCCGCCUCGCAUCUCGGAGGCCCUCGCCUGCCCCAACGCCCUCGACGCCUCCCGCAUCUCCAUCGUCAUCCGCCUUGCAAACCGCCGGUGGGUGUGCCACCGUGGCGGCGGGAGGGAGCUGCUCAGGCGCUUCGCUUGCCCCGUGGCACCCAUGGAACUGCUCACUUGAGAUCUCACCUAGGCCGUCGACCGCGGGCAUCGUUGGUGGACUAGACCCGUUCGUCUGAGUUCGUCUCUUUUGUUUUAUUCUGCAUUCAAAUAGUGUUCAGAUCAUUUUUUUCAUGUUUGAACUUUCUGAAUUUCUUCAGCGUUUUUGUUAACAUAGGUGGAUGAUUUACCACAUGCCUCACAGGUUGGAUGGGGAGUUUGAGGAUUUCGAUCAGGUGCACUUAGGGGAAUCGGAUUUGGAGUUUGGGAAUGAUGAGGAUGAGAUUAACGACAAUGAGGUCAUCAAGAUGAAGCCCCCACCGUCAGGGUUGUGGCCACCACCGCAUCGUCCCAGCAGUGCUAGCCUACAGGCGAACAUGCCGCUGUGAUCAAGGACUUGCUGUUGCUGCCAAGGUCCGCAUUUAAGAUCUUCCCCACCGCUCUUUGCAACACCAACUACUACACCUGGAGCUUCAAGCAUCAUAGGUAAACCUGCAUAUUCUUGAUGUCAAAUUGCUGUCGGUUGUUGGUAGGAUCCUGAGAGAGACAACUUCAUCAUCGUCAAUUACAGUGAGAGGAGAUCAUGAUAAGAAAGAACCAUGGACAUCAGAGUGAAGAAAAUAGCACAACAUUGGUAAUUUUGGGAUUGCGCGCAUCUACAAGAGAAAGAGCACGAAUACAGAAAUGGGUUGGAGCUGUGAUCUCCUCCAGUGCAAGUUACUUGACCGGUUGCUACACAGCUUGAAUAAAUUCGUUUUCUUUUUCUGAUGUAAAAAAGGUUCUGCUUGUUCCAAUGAUGUGUUCAUGAUAUUCCGAAUUUGAAUGAUCCGAAGAUGAGCUAUUAGCCUAUUAUGGUUCUUCUCCAUACUUGGUCAAGGGCAAUGCUGCAAAAUUUCCUAAAGAAGAGUUCUACUACUACUGAUAUACUAGGUUCAUUAUAUUUGGUAAGUGCACUAAUCCUAAUCCAAUAAGCCUUAAAUUAGUCACUAAAAUAUAUAAAGUUACCAAGAGACAGAUACUAAUAAAUUUUAAAGAGCGGCUUUUAUGGUUGGCGCUCAUAAAGACAGUGAAGGUAGUAAAGCCAGCCAACCAUUGAAAUAGAUAAUUUUUUAGAGUCAUUAGGCCUAUAUACACAAGGGAAAUGCAUUCGAAGCAUUGGAGCAAAAUAGUUCAUUUAUCUGAAUCAGUACUACCUGUUGCAACAAAAUAAUGUUAGUUGCCAAGUAGCUACAAACAUAGCAUUGUUUAAUUAAACCCCAAUUGUCUAGGUGCAUCAACAACGGAUAUUUGAACAAAGUAGUCUUCGGAAGGUAUAAACAACAAACAAACUCUACAGACCAACUUCCAGUAAAAUGCAUGACACUCCAGAUGUGUUCUCUGUUCAUGUGUUCAGUGCCACGUUUAUACCAUUCACCCCUGCUUACAGAGAAUAUUAUUUGGAAAGUGUUCCCGUUUUAUAGAAUAUUUUGGGACUUCAUUACCCCUUAUGUUUGGAUUUGUUCCUUACAGAAAAAAUAUGCAUGGCUGAACAUGCUUGAUCAGAACUCAGUAGGUUAAAAUCGGUGUCUUCAUCUCACCCACAUCGCUUACUUGUUACUGGGUUAGUAGCAUCUUCCUUGGCAGGAAGAGAUAGUAGGGUAAUCUUCAUCAAUCAAAUCUAUGCGUGAUUGUCCGUCCUUUUGGCUUGUUAUUUACCUGAUGAUGCUAACAUCUCUGCAUACUUUUGCAGUGUAUGCGAAUUUAUAUGUAGUUUAACCUGGAAAUUAAUUAAUUUUUUGGUACAACUCUAUCUUUGAAUAUAAACUCCUUGCAGUUCAGUAAAGUCCUUUUAUGUUAUAUAAGAUAGAUUCAGGGUGGUAUGCUGUCUGUUGGUUCGCUACAGCAUUUUAUUCCUUCUGCUUUCACUAAAAAAGCUUAUAAGGCUUGUUGUUCCGUCUUCUUUCAUAUUUUGCAAUCGAUCAAUAUAGUGUAACUUAUUGUUGUAACCUAUGAUAUGUAAUGAUUAUCAGAUGUGAAUUAUUGAGUCACUGAUUCUUUCAAGCAUUUAAGAAUCUGAUAAAGAAAGUAAUAGGAUUGAAAUAGCAUACAGGUUUUUGAUUCGCUUAGUUUUCUGCAAUUCCAUCAAUGUACAUGGCCAAAUAGAUUUCAUGAAGCUGACACAAUAUGUGUCUUUUUAGCUACCGACGAUAUAACAUAAGACAAUGAGAAAAACACAAGAAAAACACACCUGAACUUAUCUUUCCUUUUAUUACAUCAUAAUUUAUAUUCCUGAUAAAUUUCGUUUAUUACUUUUUGUUUUCCUCAUAUAAGUUUUUAUUUAUUUGAAUCUAUUAUGUACUAUGGAGGGAGUCACAUAGUUUGUAAAGUAAUCAGUUUGUUGUGUCAGGGAAUCUCAGUGGGAGGAAUUACAUAAAAAUAUUGUGGAUAUAAUUACAUAAUUUUUUAAGGGUACUAUAUAGUACGAUAUACUUAUAUAAUUUUAUUGAGUAGUAUAUUUCAAGCAUGUAUGAGCCAUGAACUAUUUGUUAAUACUUGGAAUGUAAUUGGAAAAAUAAUUGAAGGUACUGCAUUUUUCUUGAUUGAUAAUCAUGAUGUGAUUAAAUUAUUUUAAUCCCCAAAAAGCAAUUUGCAAGAUAAUGGCACAGAACAUUGAUGGGAUGAAGAAAGAAGUAAGAGGAGUCUUUGACUUUCUACAGUGUGGUGGUGUGAAAAGAGACGUGUAGCAAGAAACCAAGAAAGGAGAGAAUCAAGUGGGUGCAUGGUGCUGCCUGAAGUGGCAAGAAAGAAGUAGUCAUUCAUUGCUGAAAGUGAAGCCGAAGUACAGGCUUGGAAGCCUAAAUUAUGGUCUAGCUGUUUAAUAGACUGUGUGUUGUUAGUGUUGCUUUUUAGUUGAUAGAUUUACGCAAGGAACGAGAUUUAUGUGAUUACUUGGUCGAAAAAUGUAAUACUCCCUCCGGUUCAUAUUAAUUGAUUCUAAUAUGGAAGUCAAUUAAUAUGAAUCGGAGGGAGUAGUAUUUUCGCAUUAUCGCUGGAUGCCCAGUUUUUGCAUUUUUUUAUGAACACAUGUGCAUACAGUGAGUUGGUGAUUAGAGUUGAACCAUAGUCCGAACAAAGAUAAUUUCAUUGAAGUUCUUUGCUAGAAGGAAUGUGUUUUCUGUAAGAAAAUAUGUAUCAUUUAUAUAUGUGCAUUGAGAAAUAAAAUUUGAGGAUCCGUGGCAACGCACGGGCAUUUGUACUA